rnacentral:rRNA from 1 species
UACGUAGGGUGCAAGCGUUGUCCGGAAUUAUUGGGCGUAAAGAGCUCGUAGGCGGUCUGUCACGUCGGCUGUGAAAACCCGGGGCUCAACCCCGGGCCUGCAGUCGAUACGGGCAGACUAGAGUGCGGUAGGGGAGACUGGAAUUCCUGGUGUAGCGGUGAAAUGCGCAGAUAUCAGGAGGAACACCGGUGGCGAAGGCAGCUCGCUGGGACGGUACUGACGCUGAGGCGCGAAAGCGUGGGGAGCAAACAGG